rnacentral:rRNA from 1 species
AUUGAACGCUGGCGGCAGGCUUAACACAUGCAAGUCGAACGAGUGGCGGACGGGGGAGUAAUGCUUGGGAAUCAAGCUUAUGGAGGGGGAUAACUACGGGAAACUUUAGCUAAUACCGCGUACCAUAGGAUGAGCCCACGUGGGAUUAGGUAGUGGGUGAGGUAAAGGCUCACCAAGCCGACGAUCUCUAGCUGGUCUGAGAGGAUGACCAGCCACACUGUGACUGAGACACGGCCCAGACUCCUACGGGAGGCAGCAGUGGGGAAUAUUGCGCAAUGGGGGCAACCCUGAUGCAGCCAUGCCGCGUGUAUGAAGAAGGCCUUCGGGUUGUAAAGUACUUUCAGUCGGGAGGCGUUACCGACAGAAGAAGCACCGGCUAACUCCGUGCCAGCAGCCGCGGUAAUUC